AUAGGUAAGAUUUUACCCGAACUUAGCAUGAGACAGGAUAAUGUCCUCCCACCACCAAUAAUCUCUGGGACCUCUGAACGUGUUACGUUAUAUGACAAAGGGGCAGUAAGGGUGCAGGUGGAAUUAAGGUUGUUAAUCAGCUGACCUUGAAACGGAGAAUUAGCUGGGAUUAUCCAGGUGGGCUCAAUGUAAUCACCUGGGUCAUUAAUAGUGGAAGAAGCCGGCGGAAGAAGAGGAACCAGAGAGAUGGCAGCAUGAGUAGGACUCUGCCCAGUGUUGCUGGCUUUGAAGACGGAGAACGAACGUAAGGAAUGCAGCUGGCCUCUAGAAGAUGGAAAAGACGAGGAAACAGGCUCUGCCCCAGAACAUUCAGAAUGGAUACAGCUUGCCACCACCUUGAAUUUAGCCUACCGAGACUCAUUUUGGACUUCUGAUCUGCAGAACUAUUCCUCAAAAGGAAGUCAAAGUGAUUGAUGUGUCUUCACUGAAUACUCAACGAACUGUCUGACUUUGAGGGGAUGUGCUGACUUAACUUCUCAAGUGUCAGUGGCUGUUAGAGAGUUUUGUCUUAAAGAGGGCCUUGCUAUAAUUGAAAAAUUCACAAUCUCUGCUAUGCAUGUGAAGGGAGAGCAUCCCUACAGUGCUUGCAAGUGCUUGGAGCUACAGUUGUCACAAACCAUCUGAGCUGCAGACGCACUGUGUUCAUACUCAGAAUAGCACCAUUGUCACUGGUACACCAUAAGCUUCAAUGACUCACCCAGGGAGGCCCAGAAAGUCUGUGGCCCAGAAUGAAAGCCAGGCCUGUGGAUACCUCCUUCUUGCCUUAAUUCCCUUCUCUUGACUUGCCUCUCUUCCAUUUUGUGGAGAAGUAGUUACGCCCUGAAUCAAAUAACCAGCAUAGUUUUCUGGAGGAAUGCUCCUUUAUCAUUUUCCUCAAAGUGAUCACAUGAAAUGGCUGGGAACCAUCCAUUGAAUGAAUUUCUCUCUUGUGAAGGAAUAAAUUUUAAAAAACACUUAUUUACUAUGUCAAGUACCGUAAUAGAAACUUAUAUGGGAUGUCCAAAUAAGCUUGUGAGGUUUUAUCCUGUUGACUGUGCAGACAAGGAGGCUGAGCCCCUAAGCAAUCACACUAUUUAGAAGAGACAGGAUUGAAAUCAGGUUUCUAGAUGGACAAGAGGAGACAGUGGGUCUGGACUCGUGAGGAUAGACUUAACUCCUAUCUAAUCUUUCACAUCAAGUCUUCAAACAACAAAAUUGACUGAUAAAUUCUGGCUUCUGCCUGGGAAGAAUAUAUCGAGCUGGAUGAUGUAGAGACCUAGAGAAAGCAAUGCUCCCAAACAUGACAAAAUGGAACCAAACUAAGUUCAAAUUCGUGACUUAAGAAAAAAAAAAAACAAACAAACAAUUGGAUGUACCACACCAAGCAUAAACCAUAAUGUAAACUACAGACUUUGGGUGAUGAUGUGUCAGUGUGGGUUCACUAAUUGUAACAAAUGCACACUCUAGUGGGAGACGUUGAUAAUGGGGGAGGCUAUGCAUGUGUGGGGAUGGAGGUAUAGGGGAAAUCCAAGUACCUUCCUCUCAAUUUUUCUGUGAACCUACAACUACUCUUAAGUC
ensembl:lncRNA